rnacentral:tRNA from 1 species
GCCCAUGUGGCUCAGGUGGUUAGAGCGUCGCCUUGGUAAGGCGGAGGUCGGCGGUUCGAAUCCGCUCGUGGGCUCCA